GCAUAUCAAUAAGCGGAGGAAAAGAAACCAACAGGGAUUGCCUUAGUAACGGCGAGUGAAGCGGCAACAGCUCAAAUUUGAAAGCUGGCUCCUUUGGAGUCCGCGUUGUAAUUUGUAGAGGAUGAUUCGGCAAGGGCUCCCGCCUAAGUCUCCUGGAACGGAGCGUCAUAGAGGGUGAGAAUCCCGUAUGCGGUGGGCUGCCUAAGCCAUGUGAAUCUCCUUCGACGAGUCGAGUUGUUUGGGAAUGCAGCUCUAAAUGGGAGGUAAAUUUCUUCUAAAGCUAAAUACCGGCCAGAGACCGAUAGCGCACAAGUAGAGUGAUCGAAAGAUGAAAAGCACUUUGGAAAGAGAGUUAAAAAGUACGUGAAAUUGUUGAAAGGGAAGCGCUUGCAGCCAGACUUGUCCGCAGUUGCUCAGCCGGUCUCCUGACCGGUGUACUCUUCUGCGGCCAGGCCAGCAUCAGUUCGGGCGGUCGGAUAAAGACCUCGGGAAUGUAGCUCCUCUCGGGGAGUGUUAUAGCCCGGGGUGGAAUGCGGCCAGCCUGGACUGAGGAUCUCGCUUCGGCUAGGAUGCUGGCGUAAUGGCUGUAAGCGGCCCGUCUUGAAACACGGACCAAGGAGUCUAACAUCUAUGCGAGUGUUUGGGUGUCAAACCCAUGCGCGUAAUGAAAGUGAACGGAGGUGGGAACCCUCACGGGUGCACCAUCGACCGAUCCUGAUGUCUUCGGAUGGAUUUGAGUAAGAGCAUAGCUGUUGGGACCCGAAAGAUGGUGAACUAUGCCUGAAUAGGGUGAAGCCAGAGGAAACUCUGGUGGAGGCUCGCAGCGGUUCUGACGUGCAAAUCGAUCGUCAAAUUUGGGUAUAGGGGCGAAAGACUAAUCGAACCAUCUAGUAGCUGGUUCCUGCCGA
rnacentral:rRNA from 1 species